rnacentral:misc_RNA from 1 species
GAUGAAGAACGUAGCGAAAUGCGAUACGUAAUGUGAAUUGCAGAAUUCAGUGAAUCAUCGAAUCUUUGAACGCACAUUGCGCCUGCCAGCACUCUGGCAGGCAUGCCUGUUCGAGCGUCAUUUCAACCAUCAAGCCCUAGGCUUGCGUUGGAGCCCUGCGGCUGCCGCAGGCCCCUAAAAGCAGUGGCGGGCUCGCUAUCACACCGAGUGCAGUAGAUUACUCUUCGCUCAGGGCGUGUGGCGGGUUCCAGCCGUGAAACCCCCUACUUCUCAAGGUUGACCUCGGAUCAGGUAGGAAUACCCGCUGAACUUAAGCAUAUCAAUAGCGGAGGG